CGUAAAGAAAAGAGGGGAAGUGAAACAUAUAAGAAACUUCCAUGUAAAAGAAAAAAAAAUUAUAUAUCAAUUUUAACUUUAAAUAUUAAAUUACGACCAUGGGAUUUUUAUCAAACAGAUAAGAACAGAAGCUCAGGUAAGUGUCCGAUGAAGAAAAUUAGGGCUAAACAAUUCUUUCCACAUUUUUUCCCUAUAUGGUAUUCGUUGACCACAAUCAAUCUUCAAUGUUUCAUAAGGUAAUGUCAUGUGUUCAAUUUUUU
rnacentral:lncRNA from 1 species